GUAUGAAUCAAUGUGCUCAUGAAAGGCAAACUUCCAUGGAAUUACUCCUUUGCCUCUGCAACGUCCAGGGAAUUCGGAUUACCAAGAGCCAUAGUCAGCUCAUCCUUCUUCGAUCAAGCACGAAAGAUCCAUCGGCCAUUGCCUUUAUUAAGUCAACAAGCCUUGUAGCCGCUUCUCUUAAUUCUUGGCCAAACACAAAUGAUCCAUCUUUGGGAUUGAGCGUGCCGCCAUGAGCAUAAUACCAAUUUUUUGCUCGCUCCGACCAUUCGAAAGUCUGCAGUACUAUUCCCUCGGCAAUUAUAUCAUCUUCCAUCCUCUGCCAUUUCAUGAUCCCCUUCUUGUAACCUCCUGGCCCA
rnacentral:lncRNA from 1 species